GAUGAACGCUGGCGGCGUGCCUAAUACAUGCAAGUCGAGCGAACGGACGAGAAGCUUGCUUCUCUGAUGUUAGCGGCGGACGGGUGAGUAACACGUGGAUAACCUACCUAUAAGACUGGGAUAACUUCGGGAAACCGGAGCUAAUACCGGAUAAUAUUUUGAACCGCAUGGUUCAAAAGUGAAAGACGGUCUUGCUGUCACUUAUAGAUGGAUCCGCGCUGCAUUAGCUAGUUGGUAAGGUAACGGCUUACCAAGGCAACGAUGCAUAGCCGACCUGAGAGGGUGAUCGGCCACACUGGAACUGAGACACGGUCCAGACUCCUACGGGAGGCAGCAGUAGGGAAUCUUCCGCAAUGGGCGAAAGCCUGACGGAGCAACGCCGCGUGAGUGAUGAAGGUCUUCGGAUCGUAAAACUCUGUUAUUAGGGAAGAACAUAUGUGUAAGUAACUGUGCUCAUCUUUACGGUACCUAAUCAGAAAGCCACGGCUAACUACGUG
rnacentral:rRNA from 1 species